rnacentral:lncRNA from 1 species
GCGAGCUUAGUGCCAGGAGGAUGGUUUGGUGAUGGCUUAUCUUGCCUUUUAUCCUCUGAUUCAUUACUGGAUAAUCUUGUCUUAAGCUUAACUGAGCCUUCUUUAAAUAUAUCUCCAAACCCAACACCUCGAAUUUUCUUUGGCUGUGCUGGUCCAGAUCCAGGUUCACUUUCAUUCCCAGGAGAGGCCACAGGUGAGGUAGGACCACUGAAAACGGGCUCUGCAUCAUCCAGAGCAUCCUGUGUUUCUCCAUCGUCCGCCAAUUCCAACUCUUUCACAAAGUUAGAAGGAAACAACCCCGACUUGCCGUUCAGUGUUCCACUCCACCAGCCUUCCUCUACCUCCUCACUGAUGUCAAUCACAUCCCCCACCUUGAGCUCCAGCUCAUCUUCGUUCUGCGGGAGGUACUCGAAG